ACCCGGCGCGGUGGUGCGUGCCUGUAGUCCCAGCUACUCGGGAGGCUGAGGCUGGAGGAUCUCUUGAGCCCAGGAGUUCUGGGCUGUAGUGCGCUAUACCGAUCGGGUGUCCACACUAUGUGCGGCAUCAAUAUGGUGACCUCCCGGGAGUGGGGGACCACCAGGCUGCCUAAGGAGGGUGAACCGGCCCAGGUCGGAAACACAGCAGGUGAAAACUCCCGUGCUGAUCAGUAGUGGGAUCGCGCCUGUGAAUAGCCACUGCCCUCCAGCCUGGGCAGUAUAGCAAGAGUCUGUCUCU
rnacentral:SRP_RNA from 1 species